UCCGUCGCAGCCGGGAGUGAAGCCGCCUUUCUUCUUUGUGAGUUGCUGUCAUCCCCACUUGACAAUGCAGAUCUUCGUGAAGACUCUGACUGGCAAGACCAUCACCCUUGAGGUCGAGCCCAGUGACACCAUUGAGAAUGGCAAGGCAAAGAUCCAGGACAAGGAAGGCAUCCCUCCUGAUGAGCAGAGAUCGAUCUUUGCUGGGAAAGCAGCUGGAAGAUGGGCGCACCCUGUCUGACUACAACAUCCAGAAAGAGUCCACCCUGCACCCGGUCCUGUGUCUCUGAGGUGGGGUGCAGAUCUUCGUGAAGACCCUGACUGGUAAGACCAUCACCCUCGAGGUCCAGUCCAGUGACAUUAUUGAAAACGUCAAGGCAAAGAUCCAGGACAAAGAAGGCAUCCCUCCUGACCAGCAGAGAUCCAUCUUUGCUGGGAGACAGCUGGAAGAUGGAUGCACCCUAUCUGACUACAACAUCCAGAAAGAGUCCACUCGGUCCUGCGCUUGACGGGGGUUAUGUAAGUUUCCCCUUUAAGAUUUCAACAAGUCUCAUUGCACUUUUCUUUCAAUAAAGUUGUUGCAUUCCCA